UAAAUUAUUCACUUCCAAAUCCUCCGACUCGGCGAAUCCAUCGUCAAUCGAAUCGCUGCCGGAGACGCCAUUCAAAGGCCUGUGUCCGCCAUUAAAGAGCUUGUCGAAAACAGCCUCGACGCCCAAUCCACCUCCGUCGAUGUCGUUGUUCCAAGACGGCGGCCUCAAACUGGCCAUGGCAUCCGUGUCUGUUUCUUCUUAGGUCGAAAUUAAGCAAGAAUGGUGGAAUACAGUGCUUUAAAAAUUUCCUAAAGCACCCAAACCUUUCAUGAAAGUGUCGAUCAUAUUGCCAUCUGAGCGUUGACGUGAAUGUUCAUCCAACCAAAAAAAGAGGUUGCAUCGUUCGAGAAACUUUACAAGAUCUUUUAGAGAUACUGAGGUUUGUAACAACCCAAGUUUACUGCUAGCAGGUACUGUUCUCUUUGAAACGUGUCUGCUAGGGAGAGGUUUCCACACUCUUGUACAGAAUGAUUUGUUCUUUUCCCUAAUCGAUGUUUAGAGCUCAGUGUCCUCGCUGACACUCGUUCCCUUCUCCAAUUGAUGUGGGACCUCCCAUCCACCCCCAUUUGGGACCCA